UGCAUACACUUAUAUGCAUGUUGAUUGUUCUCGGUCAUCUGAAGCCCCUGUUAGAUCCCCGGAUGUUUUGGUAUCCAACAAUUUCAUGAAAAACGCGGUUAUUGAUGACCAGGAUAUGGAUAUUGAUGAAGCAUCCCAAGAUUCCCAGAUGGAAGCCAUGACUGUUGCUGUUUCUGGAUCAUCUCAUGGUCCUUCUAUGUUUGCUGAAUCACCACGCGGCCAGUUAGACGGUUGUACAAUGGACAAUGGGAUCCCACUUUAUUUUCAUAUCACACAUUUUAUAACUUGUAUUGUCAUGCCAUUUUAUUGCAGAUUCAUAACUUUUUCCGUUUUA